AAGAAGCACUAUCUUUCAGGACAUCUUUGCAGACCUUAUAAAGAAACCUGAGCACAGCGCUGGAACUUGGAAACAUUCGAGUGGCACCUGGAAUGUCACCUGGAACUGCAAGACCAGGCUCCCGUGGUGGCCGCACAGGGACAGGAGUUCUGUCUUCUCAGAUUAAGUUGCAGAUCGUCCAGUAACACAACAAGGAGGAGAAGGCUGGUGCGGACAGCGCAGGGAAGCAGCCAGUGGCGGCAGGCAGAGCUAACCACGGAGAUUUCAGAGAAGGUAGCGGCUGAAGAACGCCUCUGCCAGAGGGGGGAUGUCUGGUCAUUGCUAAUCUCUAA